CCAGACUCCUACGGGAGGCAGCAGUGGGGAAUAUUGGGCAAUGGGCGCAAGCCUGGCCCAGCAACGCCGCGUGAAGGAAGAAGGCUUUCGGGUUGUAAACUUCUUUUCUUGGGGACGAAGAAAGUGACGGUACCCAAGGAAUAAGCCACGGCUAACUACGUGCCAGCAGCCGCGGUAAUACGUAGGUGGCGAGCGUUAUCCGGAUUUAUUGGGUUUAAAGGGUGCGUAGGCGUGUUAUCAAGUCAGCGGUAAAAUCGUGGAGCUCAACUCCAUCCAGCCGUUGAAACUGAUGAUCUUGAGUGGGCGAGAAGUAUGCGGAAUGCGUGGUGUAGCGGUGAAAUGCAUAGAUAUCACGCAGAACUCCGAUUGCGAAGGCAGCAUACCGGCGCCCGACUGACGCUGAAGCACGAAAGCGUGGGUAUCGAACAGGAUUAGAUACCCGAGUA
rnacentral:rRNA from 1 species